AGUGAACGCUGGCGGUAGGCCUAACACAUGCAAGUCGAACGGCAGCACAGUAAGAGCUUGCUCUUACGGGUGGCGAGUGGCGGACGGGUGAGGAAUACAUCGGAAUCUACUUUUUCGUGGGGGAUAACGUAGGGAAACUUACGCUAAUACCGCAUACGACCUACGGGUGAAAGCAGGGGAUCUUCGGACCUUGCGCGAUUGAAUGAGCCGAUGUCGGAUUAGCUAGUUGGCGGGGUAAAGGCCCACCAAGGCGACGAUCCGUAGCUGGUCUGAGAGGAGGAUCAGCCACACUGGAGCUGGGCCACGGUCCAGACUCCUACGGGAGGCAGCAGUGGGGAAUAUUGGACAAUGGGCGCAAGCCUGAUCCAGCCAUACCGCGUGGGUGAAGAAGGCCUUCGGGUUGUAAAGCCCUUUUGUUGGGAAAGAAAAGCAGCAGGUUAAUACCCCGCUGUUCUGACGGUACCCAAAGAAUAAGCACCGGCUAACUUCGUG
rnacentral:rRNA from 1 species